rnacentral:rRNA from 1 species
UACGUAGGGUGCAAGCGUUGUCCGGAAUUAUUGGGCGUAAAGAGCUCGUAGGCGGUUUGUCGCGUCUGCUGUGAAAACCCGAGGCUCAACCUCGGGCCUGCAGUGGGUACGGGCAGACUAGAGUGCGGUAGGGGAGAUUGGAAUUCCUGGUGUAGCGGUGGAAUGCGCAGAUAUCAGGAGGAACACCAAUAGCGAAGGCAGCUCGCUGGGACGGUACUGACGCUAAGGCACGAAAGCGUGGGGAGCAAACAGG